rnacentral:ncRNA from 2 species
CUCGCGUGCCCGGGGUCGGUGUAAUUCCGAGCCGGCGGUCAUAGUCCGCGACCCGAGUCCCGCAAGGGGCGAGGUUGAACCGGUGGAACUCCGGUACCGACGGUGAAAGUCCGGAGGAGAGGCGCACGCU